UGACCUCAGAUCAGGCAAGGCAACCCGCUGAAUUUAAGCAUAUUAAUAAGCGGAGGAAAAGAAACUAACAAGGAUUCCCCUAGUAAUGGCGAAUGAAGCGGGAACAGCUCAAAUUUAAAAUCUCCGUUGCUUGCAACGGCGAAUUGUAGUUUCGAGAAGCACUUUCUCGGCGGAUCCGAGGUCGUCCAAGUUGCUUGGAACAGCACGUCGUAGAGGGUGACAACCCCGUCUGCGGCGACCUCGGCCGUUCACGAUGUGCUUUCGACGAGUCGGGUUGUUUGGGAAUGCAGCCCAAAAUGGGUGGUAAACUCCAUCUAAAGCUAAAUAUUGGCACGAGACCGAUAGCGAACAAGUACCGUGAGGGAAAGAUGAAAAGCACUUUGAAAAGAGAGUUAAAAAGUACGUGAAACCGUUAAAAGGGAAACGAAUGGGGUUAGCAAUGCGUCGUGCGAGAUUCAGCCGGUGGGUGGGCCAGGCGGGCGGUUGGCGGAUCUGAAUGGACCGCUGCCGUUCGGGUUGGUUUCCCGACCGUCGCACUUCUCGCAGGCGCGCGCCAACGUCGGUUAGGGCUGGGUUUCAAAGGCGGUGNGAAAGGUAGGUUUGGACUCUCGGGCCCGAACUGUUACAGUCCUCCGUUUGUCAUGGCCCGGACCUGACCGAGGAGCUGCGUG
rnacentral:ncRNA from 1 species